GCCGGGCACGGUGGCGCGUGCCUGUAGUCCCAGCUACUCAGGAGGCUGAGGUGGGAGGAUCGCUUGAGCCCAGGAUUUCUAGGCUGUAGUGCGCUAUGCCAAUUGGGUCCCCACACUAAGUUCGGCAUCAAUAUGGUGACCUUCCGGGAACAGGGGACCACCAGGUUGCCUAAGGAAGGGUGAACUGGCCCAGGUCAGAAACGGAGCAGGUCAAAACUCCCAUGCUGAUCAGUAGUGGGAUCGUGCCUAUAGCACGUGUGAAUAGCCACUGUACUCCAGCCUGGGCAACAUAGCAAGACCCUGUCUCUU
ensembl:misc_RNA Metazoa_SRP Metazoan signal recognition particle RNA